rnacentral:rRNA from 1 species
AAUCAACGCUGGCGGCGUGCCUAACACAUGCAAGUCGAACGCGAAAGCCCCGCAAGGGUAAGUAGAGUGGCAAACGGUAGAGUAACACGUGGGUGACCUGCCUUAGAGUGGGGGAGUAACGUCCCGAAAGGGACGCUAAUACCGCAUAACAUCCUGCCUUUGAAGAGGUGGAGAUCAAAGCCGGGGACCGCAAGGCCUGGCGCUCAAAGAGGGGCCCGCGCCUGAUUAGCUAGUUGGUGAGGUAAGGCUCACCAAGGCAACGAUCAGUAUCCGGCCUGAGAGGGCGGACGGACACACUGGGACUGAGGCACGGCCCAGACUCCUACGGGAGGCAGCAGUGGGGAAUUGUUCGCAAUGGGCGCAAGCCUGACGGAGCGACGCCGCGUGUGGGAAGAAGGCCUCGGUCGUAACACU